UACGUAGGGGGCUAGCGUUGUCCGGAAUCAUUGGGCGUAAAGCGCGUGUAGGCGGUCCGGUAAGUCCGCUGUGAAAGUCGGGGGCUCAACCCUCGGAUGCCGGUGGAUACUGUCGGGCUUGAGUACGGAAGAGGCGAGUGGAAUUCCCGGUGUAGCGGUGAAAUGCGCAGAUAUCGGGAGGAACACCAGUAGCGAAGGCGGCUCGCUGGGCCAUUCCUGACGCUGAGACGCGAAAGCUAGGGGAGCGAACAGG
rnacentral:rRNA from 1 species